rnacentral:rRNA from 1 species
ACUCCUACGGGAGGCAGCAGUGGGGAAUAUUGGACAAUGGGGGGAACCCUGAUCCAGCCAUGCCGCGUGUGUGAAGAAGGCCUUAUGGUUGUAAAGCACUUUAAGCGAGGAGGAGGCUACUGAGACAUACUACUUUGGAUAGUGGACGUUACUCGCAGAAUAAGCACCGGCUAACUCUGUGCCAGCAGCCGCGGUAAUACAGAGGGUGCGAGCGUUAAUCGGAUUUACUGGGCGUAAAGCGUGCGUAGGCGGCCAUUUAAGUCAAAUGUGAAAUCCCCGAGCUUAACUUGGGAAUUGCAUUCGAUACUGGAUGGCUAGAGUAUGGGAGAGGAUGGUAGAAUUCCAGGUGUAGCGGUGAAAUGCGUAGAGAUCUGGAGGAAUACCGAUGGCGAAGGCAGCCAUCUGGCCUAAUACUGACGCUGAGGUACGAAAGCAUGGGGAGCAAACAGGAUUAGAUACCCUGGUAGGCUCUG